GCUGUGGCUCAGUGGUACAGCGCUUGCCUAGCAUGUGUGAGGCACUGGGUUCGAUUCUCAGCUCUGCA
rnacentral:tRNA from 1 species